UCAUCAUCGUCUUCUUCAUCUCCCUCCAAGGAUUCUUGGGAGGCUUCUUCAAGGCACUGGUGCACACAGUCUGGCACAGGCAUUGUCAGACCAUUCACUCAGGGAGAAGCCAGCUGCCGUGUUGUAAGCAGUCCCGUGGACAGAUUUUGGGGCCCCUCUCCCUGGUCUCACAGGCGAAUCUAGCAAGCCACCUGCAUAGGUCUUAAGUCAUUACAAUAAAAUCCACGUUGUCCUGUGCAGCAGCCACACAGCCCAUCUUCAGCUUGUGUCAAAAUGACCUUGCAACCCCCCACCUCAUGACUGAAGACGCCAGCUGGACAGAUCCACAACAGGAACAGACAAGGGGGUACCUCGCUCUCACAUUACCCAGCUGUGUUUCUUAGAGACUGGGGGAAUAAUUAACAACCCUGGUCCUUGCCUCCCUCCACACAUAGAUAACAUCAGCAUCACUGAACUCGUUUCAUGUGUAACCAGGGAAAUCUUGUUUAUGUUACCUUCAACGUGUAAUGUAGAGAAAAGCCCAGAUGUACUCAAUCUGGGUUUUUUUGAAAUCCAGUUGUGGGUUUUUUUUUUCCUUUUCCUCUUCCCUGCACAUGCACUGUUUUGUGAAAGAGAUAUAAGCAGCACUUAAACUCACGUACUUCGGAGCAGUUCCAUCAGAGCGCUCUGCUGAACUGUUUUUCCCGGGGUUGGAACUCCGCACGCUGAUUACUGAAUAAACUCCUUCACUAAUAUCACCCAGACUCUUUGUUUCAGCCAACAGUCCUAGGGAGAUUUCCACGUGCUGAGGAACUGAGGCAUCCUGCUAACAACCACGUGGAGCCUUCAGAUGACGGCAGCCUUGGCCAACAUUUGAGCUGCAAGCCCCUGAGAGACCCUGAGCCAGAACCACAGCUAAGCUGCUCCUGGAUUCCUGCUCCACGGAAACUGAGCUGGAAAUAUUUGUGGUUUUAAACUGCUAAAUUUGGACUAUUUUGUUUUGCAGCAAUAUCUUGCAGCUAUCUUGUUAAAUCUAUCACUAAGUAUUUGAUUUUUUUUUUGGCUUAAACAACACAAAUUUAUUUUCUCAUCGUUCUGGAGGAUAGAAGUCCAAGAUCAAGGCACCCCUAGGGUUGGUUUCUGGUGAGGGCUCUCUUCCUGGCUCAUAGAUGGCCGCCUUCUCGCUGUGUCCUCAUGCGGCUUCCCCUCUGUGAGCACUGAGAAAGAGGACUCUCUUGUGUCUCUUGUCUCAUAAGGACACCAGUCCUAAGGAAUAAGACCCCACCCCUAUGACCUCACUUAACCUUUAUUCUCUCCCUUAUAGGCCCUACCUCCAAAUACAGUCACUUGGGGUUGGGGCUUCAACACAUGAAUGGGGAGGGGGCUGCUCACAAUUCAGUCCAUAACAGGUGGUACUCUGAGGACUAUUACUUUGUUAAAAUAUCCUAAACUACUUCCAGAGUGACAGUCUGUCAUCACCUACAAGUGAUCUCGAGGCUCAGGAAAGAGCCCCGAUCAGGCUCUUAAUUUUUCCCAGUUGGUUAUCGACUUUACUACAUGCUUUUCUGGCUUAUAAUAUUUCACAGUCUUCUACCAACUCUCUAAUACGAAGCACUUGUCCUGUGGACUCUCUUCAAAGAACUGCCGUCUGGUCAGCUUGAACUAUCAAAAGGCUUGCUGAGAGGGCGAAAUUAAUAAAACAUGACUUGACCCAUUUAGUCCUAUAAAUUCCCUAAAUUCUAUCCUUAGAUUAAAAUGGAUCAUUGGAAAGCUUCAUACUGGGACUAUAUUCGGAGUCUUUAAAAUCUCUAGGUCUGAGCUGCAUUUUAAUGUUAUGUUCUUGAAGGAACUUGUGAGAAAUGGCCAUGUAAAACUCAUUACUUUGACUGUUUUCAGAAGGUUGUUAAAUAAAUUGUUCACUAGAUUGUCUAA
rnacentral:lncRNA from 1 species